GAGGGUAUGGCUCAGUGAUAGAGUGUGUGCUUCGCAUGCAGGAGGUCCUGGGUUCAAUCCCUGGUACCUCCA
rnacentral:tRNA from 1 species